GGCGUCUGAUGCUGGCGUGAGCUCCAAACCCCCCUCAGACCUGGUGUGGAAGAGCCAGAACUCCUGGGGGUCCGGGCGGGACGUCCACGUGGUGCUGCUCAGCCCUCAGGGAGAGGAAGUGGCGAGGAGAACCACCACGUAUAAAACGGGAUUAGAAGAGCAGGAUGAGGAAGGUGAUGAUGAAGAGGAGGACAACUUUCUCCUGGGGCAGGAGGACCCUCACACUGCAAACAGAAGCUGCUCCAUCAUGUGAGCCAACCCCCCCCCCCCCACCACCACCUCUGAGCCCAGCCAGUCUGCUGCCAACUUUAAAACUAUUUUUCUAUCUUUUCAAUAAAAAAAAAAUUGGUUUUCUUUCUCAUAAAAAUGCACAACGGAUUUUGGUAGGAAGUAUUUUCAACUGAAAAAAAUAACAAUAUAAUACAGUUGUUGUACAAAAAUUGUAUUUGUAGGUCAGAACCUUUUUUUAAUUUUUUUAUAAAACCAAUCAACAAGUAGCUACUCUUAAGAAGCGCUGAUAUUUUUUAAUUGGUUUUUAAUUUUUUUUUAUUACAUUUUUGUCUAUAUCUGACUUUAAUAAUGAUACCAUAUUGUAAGCUUUAAGAACAGGAUGUCGGGGAUUGGAUCAGCUCAGGGGCUGGAGACCUACUGUAUAAAUUAAAUAAGCAUUGAAAGGACAAGUACACUAACUAAUACCCCCCUCCCCCUUCUGUCUGGACUUUAACUGGACAAAAUGUCAGAUUUACACAGUUUAGUGGCAUUCUUUUAGUAUCUGUAGAGAAAGACAUACCGUGAUUGUUUGAUUGUAUUAAUGAAGAAGUCAGAGGACAGUUGAAGUUUGUUAGCAGUUGUUGAGUUACCUUAAAGCCCCUCUUCAGGAGGAUUAAAAACUGGGACAGUGACACCUCGUGGAGAACAUCGUAAUAACAUUAUUUGUAAUAGUUCUCCACUCAAAGGGGCUGUAACCUUACUCAUCAGCACAUUUAAAUAAGUAUUGAGAAGUGUUGAUUGUAUUCUUAACUUUUGAUAUUUAAAGUGUUUGAAGUACCUUGUGUUGUAUGUUAUUAUGCAUGCUAUGUAAUCAUAGUUGAAUCAUUAAAUGAAUUUUCUUGUAUA